CAUCCUCCAAGGCUAAAUACUCCUGACUGACCGAUAGUGAACCAGUACCGUGAGGGAAAGGCGAAAAGAACCCCGGCGAGGGGAGUGAAAAAGAACCUGAAACCGUGUACGUACAAGCAGUGGGAGCCCCACCACCAAAGCAUUCUCUGGUGUUGAAGGCCCUGCAAAGCAGCAUCGCGGUGGCGGAGCGUCGUUUGCGACGCCCAACACACAAAACAAGCGGUGAGUGCUUUGGGGUGGGGUGACUGCGUACCUUUUGUAUAAUGGGUCAGCGACUUAUAUUCUGUAGCAAGGUUAACCGUAUAGGGGAGCCGUAGGGAAACCGAGUCUUAAUUGGGCGUUAAGUUGCAGGGUAUAGACCCGAAACCCGGUGAUCUAGCCAUGGGCAGGUUGAAGGUUGGGUAACACUAACUGGAGGACCGAACCGACUAAUGUUGAAAAAUUAGCGGAUGACCUGUGGCU
rnacentral:rRNA from 1 species